CUCUGAUAGUGUGCCUGGGGCUCAUAUACCAUUUUUGCUCUCAUCCCCUCCUUUACCUCAGCUGCUUACCUACCCCACAUGGCAGAUGCUUCCAUCUGUUCUCUUAAACCACCUAUAGCACCUCUAAAAGGCAAACUGGAAUUUUACUCUAUUUGAGGUAGUAAAAUAACUGUAGUGACAACCGCACCCAAACAUAACAGCUGCCUCUGUUCAUUACUCACCAGAGUCACUCCAGAGGCAGCUCGGGUCGUGACAUUCUAUACCGCGCACUGCAUUUCAGCCUGAACAAAAGAAAACCCAGCCAGAAGAUAAACAUUCAGCUGCCAGCAUCAGCACCCAUCCCUCAACAACAUAAGUGACCCCAUAUUCAAUUUUAUCAUUUUAAAACAGCAUUCCACUUGCCUCUGUACCUGGAAAUUAGAUCAAAGCUCAAAAGGUAAAAAGGAGUAGACAGCAUCACCCAUGCCACCUGGGAACACAAAAAGACAAAAUGACCACUGUGCUUGCAGGCAACACCUGCCACACUGCUCCUCUAUCCCAAACAGCCUCACCUCAGACCCUUAAAGGGAAACACCUGAACAUCUUCCCUUUGCUUUGGAUAAGGGACGACCAGGCUGACAACAUUCUCACCUUCCCUCGCUGUGCCAUGACACGGUGAUUUCCCUGUUCAAGACCGCACAAAGCACCUGCA